GAGGAAGAGGAAGAGGGCGGGGACGACGACGACGACGAGGAGGAGGACGCGACGGCGACGGCGGCGGCCGGCGUCGACGACGACGACGCAGAAUCUGAACCGACGCCGGAACCUGAAGCGACGCCGCCGCCGCCGCCGCCGCCGCUCGAACCCCCGCGCGAACCGACGGAAGAGCCCGAACCGGAACCGGAGACCCCGGACGAGCCGGAGGAAGAGGAACCCCCGGACGAGGUCCCGGAGGCGGAGGACCCGCGAGCCGAACCCGAGGAGCCGGACCAGCCCGAAAAAGAGACGCCGCCGCCGCCGGAAG
rnacentral:lncRNA from 1 species